ACGUUAGCGGCGGACGGGUGAGUAACACGUGGGUAACCUACCUAUAAGACUGGGAUAACUCCGGGAAAACCGGGGCUAAUACCGGAUAACACAUGAAACCGCAUGGUUUCAUGAUGAAAGACGGUUUUGCUGUCACUUAUAGAUGGACCCGCGGCGUAUUAGCUAGUUGGUAAGGUAACGGCUUACCAAGGCAACGAUACGUAGCCGACCUGAGAGGGUGAUCGGCCACACUGGAACUGAGACACGGUCCAG
rnacentral:rRNA from 1 species